UACGAAGGGGGCUAGCGUUGUUCGGAAUUACUGGGCGUAAAGCGCGCGUAGGCGGUUUGCCAAGUCAGGGGUGAAAGCCCGGGGCUCAACCUCGGAACGGCCUUUGAGACUGGCAGACUGGAGUAUGGAAGAGGGUCGUGGAAUUCCCAGUGUAGAGGUGAAAUUCGUAGAUAUUGGGAAGAACACCAGUGGCGAAGGCGGCGACCUGGUCCAUAACUGACGCUGAGGCGCGACAGCGUGGGGAGCAAACAGG
rnacentral:rRNA from 1 species